GACGAACGCUGGCGGCGUGCUUAACACAUGCAAGUCGAACGAUGAAGCCUUAGCUUGCUUUGGUGGAUUAGUGGCGAACGGGUGAGUAACACGUGAGCAACGUGCCCAGGACUCUGGAAUAACCGCGGGAAACCGUGGCUAAUACCGGAUAGGUGCCGAGGCCGCAUGGUCUUCGGUUGGAAAGUUUUUGCGGUUCUGGAUCGGCUCACGGCCUAUCAGCUUGUUGGUGGGGUAAUGGCCUACCAAGGCGACGACGGGUAGCCGGCCUGAGAGGGUGACCGGCCACACUGGGACUGAGACACGGCCCAGACUCCUACGGGAGGCAGCAGUGGGGAAUAUUGCACAAUGGGCGCAAGCCUGAUGCAGCAACGCCGCGUGGGGGAUGACGGCCUUCGGGUUGUAAACCUCUUUAGUAGGGAAGAAGCGCAAGUGACGGUACCUGCAGAAAAAGCACCGGCUAACUACGUG
rnacentral:rRNA from 1 species